AGAGGAUUGCUUGAGCCCAGGAGUGCCAGACCAGCCUGGGCAACAAAGUCAGAUUGUGUCUCUGUUUAAAAAAAAAAAAAAAAAAGGAAAUUGGGUAUUGGGUGCUGUCCUGCUCAAUCACCUGAUGUGAUGACUCCCAACAGGAAAUUGAACAGCGAUUACAGCAGCAGGCAGCCCUCUCCCCCACUACGGCUCCAGCUGUGUCCAGUGUCAGUAAACAAGAGACCAUCAUGAGACAUCAUACGCUUCGGCAGGCUCCACAGCCCCAGAGCAGCCUCCAGCGUGGCAUACCCACAUCUGCCCGCUCCAUGCUUUCAAACUUUGCACAGGCACCCCAGUUGUCUGUGCCAGGUGGCCUCCUUGGUAUGCCAGGUAAGAAGGAUUAAUCUGAAAAUGUUUCUCAUGGGUCAGCUGUUAGUUAGUAUACAGUUCUGUAGCAGCCCCUUUAAGGGAAUUGUUCCUUUACUUUCUGUUCUUUCUUUAGGGCAUACACUCUCACUCUUCUGU
rnacentral:lncRNA from 10 species